ACGGAAGGCAGCAGUGGGGAAUAUUGCACAAUGGGGGAAACCCUGAUGCAGCGACGCCGCGUGAGUGAAGAAGUUAUUCGUAAUGUAAAGCUCUAUCAGCAGGGAAGAAAAUGACGGUACCUGACUAAGAAGCCCCGGCUAACUACGUGCCAGCAGCCGCGGUAAUACGUAGGGGGCAAGCGUUAUCCGGAUUUACUGGGUGUAAAGGGAGCGUAGACGGUCUGGCAAGUCUGAUGUGAAAGGCAGGGGCUCAACUCCUGGACUGCAUUGGAAACUGUCAGUCUUGAGUGUCGGAGAGGUAAGCGGAAUUCCUAGUGUAGCGGUGAAAUGCGUAGAUAUUAGGAGGAACACCAGUGGCGAAGGCGGCUUACUGGACAAUAACUGACGUUGAGGCUCGAAAGCGUGGGGAGCAAACAGGAUUAGAUACCCUGGUA
rnacentral:rRNA from 1 species